GAUGAAGAACGUAGCGAAAUGCGAUACUUGGUGUGAAUUGCAGAAUCCCGUGAACCAUCGAGUCUUUGAACGCAAGUUGCGCCCGAAGCCUCGGCUAAGGGCACGUCUGCCUGGGCGUCACGCAUCGCGUCUCCCCCAAACCGCCAAGGCGGAGGGGAAGGAAGAUGGCUUCCCGUGCCUCACCCGGGCGCGGUUGGCCUAAAUUUGGAGCCCGCGGCACUUAGCUCUCGCGGCGAUAGGUGGUGAACAAGGCCUUGGCCGUGCAAACAACCCGCUGCGAAGCUCUAUGUCACGUGCGCUCGUCGGACCCUUCGAAGUUGCCUUUGGUGACUUAAAACCUUUGCGACCCCAGGUCAGGCGGGGCUACCCGCUGAAUUUAAGCAUAUCAAUAAGCGGAGGA
rnacentral:misc_RNA from 1 species